rnacentral:rRNA from 1 species
AGUGAACGCUGGCGGUAGGCCUAACACAUGCAAGUCGAACGGCAGCACAGUAAGAGCUUGCUCUUACGGGUGGCGAGUGGCGGACGGGUGAGGAAUACAUCGGAAUCUACUUUUUCGUGGGGGAUAACGUAGGGAAACUUACGCUAAUACCGCAUACGACCUACGGGUGAAAGCAGGGGAUCUUCGGACCUUGCGCGAUUGAAUGAGCCGAUGUCGGAUUAGCUAGUUGGCGGGGUAAAGGCCCACCAAGGCGACGAUCCGUAGCUGGUCUGAGAGGAGGAUCGGCCAAACUGAAACGAGACCACGUUCCAGACUCCUACGGAAGCCAGCAUUGGGAAUUUUUGAACAAUGGCGCAAGCCUGAUCCAGCCAUACCGCGUGGGUGAAGAAGGCCUUCGGGUUGUAAAGCCCUUUUGUUGGGAAAGAAAAGCAGCAGGUUAAUACCCCGCUGUUCUGACGGUACCCAAAGAAUAAGCACCGGCUAACUUCGUG